GACGAACGCUGGCGGCGUGCCUAAUACAUGCAAGUUGAGCGAUGAAGAUUGGUGCUUGCACCAAUUUGAAGAGCAGCGAACGGGUGAGUAACGCGUGGGGAAUCUGCCUUUGAGCGGGGGACAACAUUUGGAAACGAAUGCUAAUACCGCAUAACAACUUUAAACAUAAGUUUUAAGUUUGAAAGAUGCAAUUGCAUCACUCAAAGAUGAUCCCGCGUUGUAUUAGCUAGUUGGUGAGGUAAAGGCUCACCAAGGCGAUGAUACAUAGCCGACCUGAGAGGGUGAUCGGCCACAUUGGGACUGAGACACGGCCCAAACUCCUACGGGAGGCAGCAGUAGGGAAUCUUCGGCAAUGGACGAAAGUCUGACCGAGCAACGCCGCGUGAGUGAAGAAGGUUUCCGGAUCGUAAAACUCUGUUGGUAGAGAAGAACGUUGGUGAGAGUGGAAAGCUCAUCAAGUGACGGUAACUACCCAGAAAGGGACGGCUAACUACGUG
rnacentral:rRNA from 1 species